GACCUGCUUGAUUCUAGGUCCCGUCGCCUCCUUGGGCCUCACAAUGGACCUGCUUGAUGCUAGGUCCC